rnacentral:rRNA from 1 species
GGAGCGGCCACGGGUGAGUAACGCGUGGGAACGUACCUUUUGCUACGGAAUAACUCAGGGAAACUUGUGCUAAUACCGUAAGUGCCCUUCGGGGGAAAGAUUUAUCGGCAAAGGAUCGGCCCGCGUUGGAUUAGCUAGUUGGUGAGGUAAAGGCUCACCAAGGCGACUAUCCAUAGCUGGUCUGAGAGGAUGAUCAGCCACACUGGGACUGAGACACGGCCCAGACUCCUACGGGAGGCAGCAGUGGGGAAUAUUGGACAAUGGGCGCAAGCCUGAUCCAGCCAUGCCGCGUGAGUGAUGAAGGCCCUAGGGUUGUAAAGCUCUUUCACCGGUGAAGAUAAUGACGGUCACCGGAGAAGAAGCCCCGGCUAACUUCGUGCCAGCAGCCGCGGUAAUACGAAGGGGGCUAGCGUUGUUCGGAUUUACUGGGCGUAAAGCGCACGUAGGCGGACUUUUAAGUCAGGGGUGAAAUCCCGGGGCUCAACCCCGGAACUGCCUUUGAUACUGGAAGUCUUGAUUAUGGUAGAGGUGAGUGGAAUUCCGAGUGUAGAGGUGAAAUUCCUAGAUAUUCGGAGGAACACCAGUGGCGAAGGCGGCUCACUGGACCAUUACGGACGCUUAGGUGCGAAAGCGUGGGGAGCAAACAGGAUUAGAUACCCUGAUACUCCACGCCGUAAACGAUGAAUGUUAGCCGUUGGGGAGUUUACUCUUCGGUGGCGCAACUCACGCAUUAAACAUUCCGCCCGGGGAGUACGGUCGCAAGAUUAAUACUCAAACGAAUUGACUGGGGCCCGCACAAGCGGUGGAGCAUGUGGUGUGAUUUCGAAGCAACGCGCAGAACCUUACGAGCCCUUGACAUACCGGUCGCGGGACACAGACAUGUGUCUUUCAUUUCGGCUGGACCGAGAUACAUGUGCUGCAUGGCUGUCGUCAGCUCAUGU